ensembl:lncRNA
CAACAAUAAAACAUUUGAAGUGCAUUAAAUACCUACAUAUUAACACUUGAUCUGUAUGUUGUAUAAAUGUCAUGUGAGCUGUAUUCAAUAUACUCAAUGUAAAUGUCUUUGCCAGGUACUGUGUUGAUAUGUACAUGAGGUAGUCAGUCAGGUUCUGAUCAGGUGUUGAUAUGUACAUGAGGUAGUCAGUCCGGGUUCUGAUCAGGUGUUGAUAUGUACGUGAGGUAGUCAGUCCGGGUUCUGAUCAGGUGUUGAUAUGUACGUGAGGUAGUCAGUCCGGGUUCUGAUCAGGUGUUGAUAUGUACAUGAGGUAGUUUGGACGGUUCUGAUCAGACCUAUAUCAGUCCACAACAAUAUUAGUUCUCUGAGUUCUCUACACAGCACAGCUUCCUGCUACACCCCCUGUCUUCUCUGUGGUCAGUCAGUCUUCUCUGUGGUCAGUCGGUCUUCUCUGUGGUGUCUGGUCCAGUUCCAGGGUGGGGGGAGUGAGGAGGGGAACAAUAACUGGCUGAUGUCACAAAGACACUCCUGUCCUUUCAUUCUCUCCAUUUUCCUGUUCUGUAACUCCUGGAAGAGAAUAUUG